rnacentral:lncRNA from 1 species
GGUUGUUUACCCAACCUUAAGCGUGGUGGCCAGCGGUAGCCAGCGCCACUUUGUAAUGGCAUAUGUGGCUUUCCACAGUCUUGUGUGAGUGUUGGGGAUUGAACUCUGUUCUUCCUACUUAAAGCUAUUUUGGUGAAGUUGGAGAGAGGUCUGAAAAGAAUUGGUGCUCAAGCAAGGUCCUAAAUUUCAACCCUGAUCACACAGAAUGUUGGGACUUGCUAAUUACCCAGUAUCUUUGCACAGUGAACCCUGCACAUUUCAUCUGGGAAUCAAGGUCAUUGUUGGCAUGUGCUGAUUCCACAGGCACUAAUGACGGUUUUAUACGGUUUUAUACAGCCUUCAACUUCUGUCCUGGGUCUGGAAACAGGAAAUGUAAGUCCUGAAUUGGAUCCCUUGUCAUCUUUGUCAAUCAAAUAUUUACUAUGUUUGGAAGUCUCUUUAGACGUUAUUCCAGAUGAAUUUGAGAAUUGUUCUUUCUGACUCUGUCAAGAAUUGAGUUGGAAUAUUGAUGUGGAAGCCUUGAAUCUGCAGAUUG